rnacentral:rRNA from 1 species
GCAAGUCGAGCGCGAAAGUUCCUUCGGGAGCGAGUAGAGCGGCGAAAGGGUGAGUAAUGCUUGGGCAACUUACCUCUUGGACUGGGAUAGCCUCUGGAAACGGGGGGUAAUACCAGAUGGUCUCGUUGGAACUGCGGUUCCGAUGAGUAAAGGUGGGCUUCGGCUCGCGCCAAGAGAGAGGCUCGAGUCCUACCAGCUUGUUGGUGAGGUAAUGGCUCACCAAGGCGAAGACGGGUAGCCGGACUGAGAGGUUGGCC